rnacentral:tRNA from 1 species
GGUUCCAUAGUAUAGCAGUUAGCACAUCUGCUUUACAAGCAGAAGGUCUGGGUUCGCGCCCCAGGGGAGCCA